UCCAGAUGAACUAUGCAAGAUUUGCCUGUAUCUCUCAUGGAAAGUAGUCACCAUAUUUGUUGAAUCACGAAAUCCAAGAAUUAGGAAGGACUUCAAAGAGCCUCUCGUUUAAUCCAUACCUGAAAUAAUCUCAAUGACAACAUGUUUGGUAAAACAAACAAACAAAAAACAUCAAAGGUCCUAAAGCAGCAGCUAGACCUACCUGACUAUGGACCAGUAUGAGGAAUGCAGACAUCCUAGCUGUGUCUCUCAAAAUGUCAACAAUCAGGGCUCCAGAGACACACAAGGGAACUCAAAGGGAUAACAAGCAGCUGGAACCAAGUUUUAAAGGAUCUUUGCCAUUCAGCCACACCGCCAACCCUAUGAUCGAGAAGACUGUGCCAGGGAAGUGCCAGCAAGGGCUGGAAGGUUGUCAAGCUGGAAAGUCUUUGAUUAUGGACCCCCCAACCGAGUGCAUCUACUUAAGGACAAGUUUUACUCUCUCCAGAGAGGAGGCUCAGUACCAGAAGGCAGGUUUGUAAGUGACGCACUUUUUAAAAAACUGCAGGACCCGUGAAAUGGACAAAUUGAAUAAAUAGCCCUCAAUCCAA